GCGACGUGGCCAAGUGGUAAGGCAGAGGCCUGCAAAGCCUUUAUCCCCGGUUCGAAUCCGGGCGUCG
rnacentral:tRNA from 1 species